rfam:Triticum aestivum genome assembly, contig: Triticum_aestivum_CS42_TGACv1_scaffold_457359_5DS
AAAUGCCAUUUGGUAUCUGAUGCAUGGUCAUUUUUUGUGAUUCUGUGUCUUGAAACACCUCAAAAAAUGAGGUGGAGAACAGAACUUUGCGACACUGGCUGCUCCUAAUGAGCCUCUAGUUACUAUAUACCUGUUUAUAUUA